rnacentral:rRNA from 1 species
ACUAAGCGUACACGGUGGAUGCCCUGGCAGUCAGAGGCGAUGAAGGGCGUGCUAAUCUGCGAUAAGCGCCGGUAAGGUGAUAUGAACCGUUAUAACCGGCGAUUUCCGAAUGGGGAAACCCAGUGUGAUUCGUCACACUAUCAUUAACUGAAUCCAUAGGUUAAUGAGGCGAACCGGGGGAACUGAAACAUCUAAGUACCCCGAGGAAAAGAAAUCAACCGAGAUUCCCCCAGUAGCGGCGAGCGAACGGGGAGGAGCCCAGAGCCUGAAUCAGCAUGUGUGUUAGUGGAAGCGUCUGGAAAGGCGCGCGAUACAGGGUGACAGCCCCGUACACAAAAGCGCAUGUGUUGUGAGCUCGAUGAGUAGGGCGGGACACGUGGUAUCCUGUCUGAAUAUGGGGGGACCAUCCUCCAAGGCUAAAUACUCCUGACUGACCGAUAGUGAACCAGUACCGUGAGGGAAAGGCGAAAAGAACCCCGGCGAGGGGAGUGAAAAAGAACCUGAAACCGUGUACGUACAAGCAGUGGGAGCNUGAGGGAAAGGCGAAAAGAACCCCGGCGAGGGGAGUGAAAAAGAACCUGAAACCGUGUACGUACAAGCAGUGGGAGCCCCACCACUAAGCCAGUGGUGAACUCCACAUACGCAUCCUUUGCUGAGGAUACGGUUAACGGAGCGCAAGCGACGUUCAACCGCAAAAGAAGCAGAGGGGGCUUAGUGGUGGGGUGACUGCGUACCUUUUGUAUAAUGGGUCAGCGACUUAUAUUCUGUAGCAAGGUUAACCGUAUAGGGGAGCCGGAGGGAAACCGAGUCUUAAUUGGGCGUUAAGUUGCAGGGUAUAGACCCGAAACCCGGUGAUCUAGCCAUGGGCAGGUUNAGGGAAACCGAGUCUUAACCGGGCGUUAAGUUGCAGGGUAUAGACCCGAAACCCGGUGAUCUAGCCAUGGGCAGGUUGAAGGUUGGGUAACACUAACUGGAGGACCGAACCGACUAAUGUUGAAAAAUUAGCGGAUGACCUGUGGCUGGGGGUGAAAGGCCAAUCAAACCGGGAGAUAGCUGGUUCUCCCCGAAAGCUAUUUAGGUAGCGCCUCGUGAAUUCAUCUCCGGGGGUAGAGCACUGUUUCGGCUAGGGGGCCAUCCCGGCUUACCAACCCGAUGCAAACUGCGAAUACCGGAGAAUGUUAUCACGGGAGACACACGGCGGGUGCUAACGUCCGUCGUGAAGAGGGAAACAACCCAGACCGCCAGCUAAGGUCCCAAAGUCAUGGUUAAGUGGGAAACGAUGUGGGAAGGCCCAGACAGCCAGGAUGUUGGCUUAGAAGCAGCCAUCAUUUAAAGAAAGCGUAAUAGCUCACUGGUCGAGUCGGCCUGCGCGGAAGAUGUAACGGGGCUAAACCAUGCACCGAAGCUGCGGCAGCGAGUAAUAGCUCACUGGUCGAGUCGGCCUGCGCGGAAGAUGUAACGGGGCUAAACCAUGCACCGAAGCUGCGGCAGCGAACGUAUCACUUAAAGCGAUUCAGCGGGUUACGAUUGACGGAGCGAAGCGACGUCAAAGCGUAUACAAAGUCGAGUCGGUUUAAGGAUACGUUCGUUGGGUAGGGGAGCGUUCUGUAAGCCUGUGAAGGUGUGUCGUGAGGCAUGCUGGAGGUAUCAGAAGUGCGAAUGCUGUUGGGUAGGGGAGCGUUCUGUAAGCCUGUGAAGGUGGCCUGUGAGGGUUGCUGGAGGUAUCAGAAGUGCGAAUGCUGACAUAAGUAACGAUAAAGCGGGUGAAAAGCCCGCUCGCCGGAAGACCAAGGGUUCCUGUCCAACGUUAAUCGGGGCAGGGUGAGUCGACCCCUAAGGCGAGGCCGAAAGGCGUAGUCGAUGGGAAACGGGUUAAUAUUCCCGUACUUGGUGUUACUGCGAAGGGGGGACGGAGAAGGCUAUGUUGGCCGGGCGACGGUUGUCCCGGUUUAAGCGUGUAGGUGUGUGUUCCAGGUAAAUCCGGUUCACUUUAACACUGAGGCGUGAUGACGAGGCACUACGGUGCUGAAGCAACAAAUGCCCUGCUUCCAGGAAAAGCCUCUAAGCAUCAGGUAACAUCAAAUCGUACCCCAAACCGACACAGGUGGUCAGGUAGAGAAUACCAAGGCGCUUGAGAGAACUCGGGUGAAGGAACUAGGCAAAAUGGUGCCGUAACUUCGGGAGAAGGCACGCUGACAUGUAGGUGAAGUGAUUUACUCAUGGAGCUGAAGUCAGUCGAAGAUACCAGCUGGCUGCAACUGUUUAUUAAAAACACAGCACUGUGCAAACACGAAAGUGGACGUAUACGGUGUGACGCCUGCCCGGUGCCGGAAGGUUAAUUGAUGGGGUCAGCGCAAGCGAAGCUCCUGAUCGAAGCCCCGGUAAACGGCGGCCGUAACUAUAACGGUCCUAAGGUAGCGAAAUUCCUUGUCGGGUAAGUUCCGACCUGCACGAAUGGCGUAAUGAUGGCCAGGCUGUCUCCACCCGAGACUCAGUGAAAUUGAACUCGCUGUGAAGAUGCAGUGUACCCGCGGCAAGACGGAAAGACCCCGUGAACCUUUACUAUAGCUUGACACUGAACAUUGAGCCUUGAUGUGUAGGAUAGGUGGGAGGCUUUGAAGCGUGGACGCCAGUCUGCAUGGAGCCGGCCUUGAAAUACCACCCUUUAAUGUUUGAUGUUCUAACGUGGACCCGUGAUCCGGGUUGCGGACAGUGUCUGGUGGGUAGUUUGACUGGGGCGGUCUCCUCCUAAAGAGUAACGGAGGAGCACGAAGGUUGGCUAAUCCUGGUCGGACAUCAGGAGGUUAGUGCAAUGGCAUAAGCCAGCUUGACUGCGAGCGUGACGGCGCGAGCAGGUGCGAAAGCAGGUCAUAGUGAUCCGGUGGUUCUGAAUGGAAGGGCCAUCGCUCAACGGAUAAAAGGUACUCCGGGGAUAACAGGCUGAUACCGCCCAAGAGUUCAUAUCGACGGCGGUGUUUGGCACCUCGAUGUCGGCUCAUCACAUCCUGGGGCUGAAGUAGGUCCCAAGGGUAUGGCUGUUCGCCAUUUAAAGUGGUACGCGAGCUGGGUUUAGAACGUCGUGAGACAGUUCGGUCCCUAUCUGCCGUGGGCGCUGGAGAACUGAGGGGGGCUGCUCCUAGUACGAGAGGACCGGAGUGGACGCAUCACUGGUGUUCGGGUUGUCAUGCCAAUGGCACUGCCCGGUAGCUAAAUGCGGAAGAGAUAAGUGCUGAAAGCAUCUAAGCACGAAACUUGCCCCGAGAUGAGUUCUCCCUGAGACUUAAAGUCUCCUGAAGGAACGUUGAAGACGACGACGUUGAUAGGCCGGGUGUGUAAGCGCAGCGAUGCGUUGAGCUAACCGGUACUAAUGAACCGUGAGGCUUAACC